rnacentral:rRNA from 1 species
CCUACGGGAGGCAGCAGUGAGGAAUAUUGGUCAAUGGGCGGGAGCCUGAACCAGCCAAGUAGCGUGCGGGAUGAAGGCCCUACGGGUCGUAAACCGCUUUUGCACGGGGAUAACACCCUCCACUUGUGGAGGUCUGCAGGUACCGUGCGAAUAAGGGCCGGCUAAUUCCGUGCCAGCAGCCGCGGUAAUACGGAAGGCCCGAGCGUUAUCCGGAUUUAUUGGGCUUAAAGGGAGCGUAGGCGGUCGUUCAAGUCAGCGGUAAAAUCGCGCGGCUCAACCGUCCCGCGCAGUUGAAACUGGACGACUUGAGUUCACGACAGGCAGGCGGAAUUCGUGGUGUAGCGGUGAAAUGCAUAGAUAUCACGCAGAACUCCGAUCGCGAAGGCAGCGUACCGGCGCCCAACUGACGCUGAAGCACGAAGGCGUGGGUAUCGAACAGGAUUAGAUACCCUUGUAGUC